UAAUACGGAGGGUGCAAGCGUUGUUCGGAAUCACUGGGCGUAAAGCGCGUGUAGGCGGCCUUCUCAGUCUGGUGUGAAAGCCCGGGGCUCACCCCCGGAAGUGCAUUGGAUACUGGAAGGCUGGAGUACCGGAGAGGAGGGUGGAAUUCCUGGUGUAGCGGUGAAAUGCGUAGAUAUCAGGAGGAACACCGGUGGCGAAGGCGGCCCUCUGGACGGAUACUGACGCUGAGACGCGACAGCGUGGGGAGCAAACAGGAUUAGAUACCCUGGUAGUCCACGCCGUAAACGAUGGGUACUAGGUGUUCGGGGUAUUGACCCCCUGAGUGCCGCAGCUAACGCAUUAAGUACCCCGCCUGGGGACUACGGCCGCAAGGCUA
rnacentral:rRNA from 1 species